rnacentral:rRNA from 1 species
AGUGAACGCUGGCGGUAGGCCUAACACAUGCAAGUCGAACGGCAGCACAGUAAGAGCUUGCUCUUACGGGUGGCGAGUGGCGGACGGGUGAGGCAUACAUCGGAAUCUACUUUUUCGUGGGGGAUAACGUAGGGAAACUUACGCUAAUACCGCAUACGACCUACGGGUGAAAGCAGGGGAUCUUCGGACCUUGCGCGACUGAAUGAGCCGAUGUCGGAUUAGCUAGUUGGCGGGGUAAAGGCCCACCAAGGCGACGAUCCGUAGCUGGUCUGAGAGGAUGAUCAGCCACACUGGAACUGAGACACGGUCCAGACUCCUACGGGAGGCAGCAGUGGGGAAUAUUGGACAAUGGGCGCAAGCCUGAUCCAGCCAUACCGCGUGGGUGAAGAAGGCCUUCGGGUUGUAAAGCCCUUUUGUUGGGAAAGAAAAGCAGCAGGUUAAUACCCCGCUGUUCUGACGGUACCCAAAGAAUAAGCACCGGCUAACCUCGUG